GAAGAGUCUAAAGAAAAGAUUUUGGAACAAAUUGGAUGAAAUCAACAGGACCUAAUUGUGAGGAUCGGAUGAUAUUUUUCCAGAUAGAAUUCAGACCUGAAAUUGCUGAAGUUUAGCUUUGGUAACAGGUACAAAGGGUGACUAGUGCGGUGAUCAGAGAAAAGGAUGACUGUCUGAAAAGAAGCUGGGCCUGGCAAAGCAGAGGUUGAGAGCAGAUACAAUUGCUGUCUAUAAAUAUAUGAUGAGAAGAAAAAAUGGAUGAUUCUGGGCCAGAUCCUUAGAUGGAUGACACCUCUGAUUACCUCCUAUAGGGAAGUAAUUGGAAGUACUGGGAGGCUGCAAGCUUGUUCUUAUCACCUGGGAUGGCUUGGCAUCAAAUUGUGCCUCCAAAAAAGAGCAACUUGCAACUGGCAUGGCCUGCUGUUUAUAUAUUGUAAUUUAUGAAUGAAAUAGUACAUCUGGUGCCACCGUAUUGUCCAGAACCUCAUGAAGUGCCCCUGCCCAGAAGAAACAUCAGGCUCCAUCUCAGCAAGGGAACAGAGCCAAAAUAAACUGAAUAAUAAAUGAAGAUUUGGUGCAUCUUCUUGAAGAAUAUGAGAUUUUAAAAAGAUCAAGUUAAAGCACAAGAAAGAUUAAGACUGGGUUGCUGCUUUGUUUGUUUGUUUUUGUGAUGACGGCUUGAACUGACCUAAAUGGGAUUCAGAGGUCUUUGAAAUAUUGAUAUCAUCAUAUCUUCAGAUAUUGAUAUUACUUUUUAUUUUUUUAGGAAAAGUUCUCAAUAUCCUUUGCUAAGUAAUGCAAAUCUAGCAAGAAUGCACAGCGAGGACUUUAGCAUUGGCUUUUUUACUUAGUAUGCAUAGUUUCCUAGGAAAAUAUUUAUUUUUAUAUUUUCUAUAUGAGAGGCAUGAUGGAUUUUUCUCCUUUCUUUGAUACUGGAGAGCAAACGCUCAUAUUUUACUUCAAAGUGGUUUAUAUGGGCAUACCAAAACAAAUGAGAGUUUUCUUGACUCAUCUAGGGUGGGAAAAAGCUUUUUAUUAAGCUUAAAUAUUUUUGUGUUGACAGUUUCAAAAAAAACAUAAUAUUUUUUAUUUCAGAAGUCCUGUUCAUUGGUGGGUGAUUAGCUCAUCAAGUAGGCCUUUCAUUCAGGUGGGAGAACCAGAAAAGACUCAAA